rnacentral:rRNA from 1 species
AAACGACUCUCGACGACGGAUAUCUUGGCUCUCGCAUCGAGAAAGAACGUGAAAUGCGAUUGGUGUGAAUUGCGGAAUCCCCUGGACCAUCGAGUCUUUGAACGCAAGUUGCCCCCGAAGCCCUUAGGCCGAGGGCAUGUCUGCCUGGGCGUCAUGCAA